AAGAAAGCUUGCUUUCUUUGCUGGCGACCGGCGCACGGGUGAGUAACACGUAUCCAACCUACCCUUUACUCGGGGAUAGCCUUCCGAAAGAAAGAUUAAUACCCGAUAGCAUAAUGAUUCCGCAUGGUUUCAUUAUUAAAGGAUUCCGGUAAAGGAUGGGGAUGCGUUCCAUUAGGUUGUUGGUGGGGUAACGGCCCACCAAGCCUUCGAUGGAUAGGGGUUCUGAGAGGAAGGUCCCCCACAUUGGAACUGAGACACGGUCCAAACUCCUACGGGAGGCAGCAUG
rnacentral:rRNA from 1 species